CCUUAGCCUCAGUUCCAACCUGCAAUUCAAGGUUAAACAUAGAUAUUCAAACAAUUCACGACAUUCGAUCAAGCACUGGUCAAUCGACUAAGUCGAUUACAUGUCAGCCAGACACUUUCUAGGUCAUUCCCACUCAUACCACGAUUUCCCAGCGGUGUACUCAUUCACCAAAUCACAUGUGUUUCUCGGGCGUCGUUUUCGCCAAUGACAUACCGAUCACCGACACCGUGCGUUCUUUAAGGCGCCGUUUUCACCAGUGAUAACCUUGAUCACCGAACCACGUGUCCUUUCAAGGGCGCCGUUUUCGCCAAGGUGACAUCGGCUAUAGACAACAUCGUGC
rnacentral:lncRNA from 1 species